AGAAAAAUCUUUGAAGUGUCCCAA
rnacentral:siRNA from 1 species